rnacentral:rRNA from 1 species
AACGAACGCUGGCGGCAGGCUUAACACAUGCAAGUCGAGCGCCCCGCAAGGGGAGCGGCAGACGGGUGAGUAACGCGUGGGAACGUACCCUUUGCUACGGAAUAGCUCCGGGAAACUGGAAUUAAUACCGUAUGUGCCCUACGGGGGAAAGAUUUAUUGGCAAAGGAUCGGCCCGCGUUGGAUUAGCUAGUUGGCGGGGUAAUGGCCUACCAAGGCGACGAUCCAUAGCCGGUCUGAGAGGAUGAUCAGCCACAUUGGGACUGAGACACGGCCCAAACUCCUACGGGAGGCAGCAGUGGGGAAUAUUGGACAAUGGGCGCAAGCCUGAUCCAGCCAUGCCGCGUGAGUGAUGAAGGCCUUAGGGUUGUAAAGCUCUUUCACCGGAGAAGAUAAUGACGGUAUCCGGAGAAGAAGCCCCGGCUAACUUCGUGCCAGCAGCCGCAGUAACAC